CCGACGAUCAUAGCUGAUAAUGCCGGCUACGACAGCGCAGAUUUGGUUGCACAGCUCAGAGCUGCUCACAGUGAAGGGAAAACGACUUACGGACUGGAUAUGAAAGAGGGUGUCAUUGGAGACAUGGCAGUCUUGGGAGUUACAGAAAGUUUCCAAGUGAAGAGGCAGGUUUUGCUGAGUGCAGCUGAAGCAGCAGAAAUGAUUCUUCGUGUGGAUGACAUUAUUAAAGCGGCACCAAGAAAACGUGUGCCAGACCAUCGCCCGUGUUAAACUCUUCAGUGCCUGAUGACAUGUGGACCAGAUUUCACCUAGUAUUUUUUUUUUUUUUAAUGAUAUAGUUCUUGCGAGGCUGUGAUACAGAAGCUUAAGAUGAGCAUCUCCAUCAAUA